GGAAUUAGAAAUUCAAAUAAAGACUUCUAAUCUUUUAUUUUAGCAGUGAAAUCUGUUAUUUUUCCU
rnacentral:tRNA from 1 species